rnacentral:misc_RNA from 1 species
GUGAAUCAUCGAAUUUUUGAACGCAUAUUGCACUCUCUGGUAUUCCGUAGAGUAUGCCUGUUUGAGGGUAAUUAAAAAGAAUCUUUAACCAAUUUUUUUUGGUCAAAGGAAAUGAGCUCUCCGCGGUUAUAGCGGUAACUUAAAAUAAGUGGUCAAGUCUCAUUUUAGUCGAGACGCAUAGUGAUAUUGUGGCGCGAAAUCUUCAGUAUGUGACUGUCAAAUUUUGAUGCAUACAAAUGUGCUUUGUAGGCGAUCAAGAC